GGUAAGACGUAGGAUGCAAGCGUUAUCCGGAAUUAUUGGGCAUAAAGAGUUCGUAGACGCUUUGUUAAGUUGGAUGUUAAAUUUUUGAGCUCAACUUACAAAAAGGUAUCCAAAACUGGCAAACUGGAGACUGGUAGAGGUAAGUGGAAUUCUGCAUGUAGGGGUAAUAUCCGUAGAUAUGCAGAGGAACACCAAAAGCGAAGGCAGCUUACUGGACCAGUUCUGACGCUCAAGAACGAAAGCGUGGGUAGCGAACGGGAUUAGAUACCCCGGCAGUCCACGCCCUAAACGAUGAACACUAGGUAUUGGAGGUCUCGACCCCUUCAGUGCCGACGCAAAUGCAAUAAGUGUUCCGCCUGGGUAGUACGAGCGCAAGCUUAAAACUCAAAGGAAUAGACGGGGACCCACACAAGCGGUGGAGCAUCUGGUUUAAUUCGACAAUAAGCGAGGAACCUUACCAAGGCUUGACAUCCCGAGAAGAUCGCCGAAAGGUGAUUGUGCCGUUAGGAACUCGGUGACAGGUGCUGCAUGGUUGUCGUCAGCUCGUGCCUUGAGGUGUUCGGUUAAGUCCGUGAACGAGCGCAACCCUUGUCUCAAGUUGCAUAUUUCUUGAGAGACUGCCGGUUUCAACUCGGAGGAAGGUAAGGAUGACGUCAAAUCAGCAUGGCCCUUAUGUCUUGGGCGACACAGGUGCUACAAUGGCCGGUACAAUGGGCAGCGAAGGAGCAAUCUGGAGCAAAUCCUCAAAACCGGUCCAAGUUCGAAUUGAAGGCUGCAACUCGCCUUCAUGAAGUUGGAAUCGCUAGUAACCGCAUAUCAGCCAUGGUGCGGUGAAUCUGUUCCUGGGUCUUGUACUCACCGCCCGUCAAGUCAUGAAAGAUGGGGGUGCCCGA
rnacentral:rRNA from 1 species